rnacentral:lncRNA from 1 species
UAAUGAUCAUGCUACUCAUACUCUUUUGCGGUGGUGGGGUUGCGGGUAGCUAACGGUGUAGACAACAGAAGGAUAAAGCAGGAUAUGUUCCCUCAUCUUUUUGCGGCAACAAUGAAGUUGUGGCCUUGUUUCUCCACUUGGGUGUCUCCCUGACCGGAUGUGUCGCUCUCUGGUUGUUCUUGCUCCAUCUCUGAUGUAGCUGUAUUUUCUUCGUCGUUGUUGCUAAUGCUAAAAGUUUUGUUCAAAAGAUGGUUGUGGUUUCGGAUUUCUAAUCUAUGCAAGGCUUGUAUAAUAGCAGCUUAUUCUUUGGGGCAUUUGUUCAGCUAGACCUUAGCACAAGGACUUCGCUGACCACAUGAUACAAUGUUAACAUGCUCUGGCAAUGGAGCAACAACAACAAUGUUGCUUCGACUCAUACUGAAGAUUUGAGUUUUUUUAGCUCUUUAAGGACAUGAUUGAAGUUAAUGACAAUAUUUCGUAUCGUUGGAAAUUUUCCUUUACAAAAUCUAGGGCUCAGUUGAUAAAAUAUGAUAGGGACAAGCCUAAUGGGUUGAUGAGCCGCCUAUGACAUGUUCUCUAGUUUUUGUUGGCAAAAGUCCAUAGUAUUCGGUAUGUUUAGGACACCUCUCGAGGAGCCAGAUCCUAUUUGAUGCCUUAAGCGCUGUUUACUAUUUUUUUUCAUGUGGCACCCUCUAUCCAUAUGGGCUGCUGCAUCUAAGCACGCAAUGAACAAUC